rnacentral:rRNA from 1 species
GAUGAACGCUGGCGGCGUGCCUAAUACAUGCAAGUCGAGCGAACAGGCGAGGAGCUUGCUCCUCUGACGUUAGCGGCGGACGGGUGAGUAACACGUGGAUAACCUACCUAUAAGACUGGGAUAACUUCGGGAAACCGGAGCUAAUACCGGAUAAUAUAUUGAACCGCAUGGUUCAAUAGUGAAAGACGGUUUUGCUGUCACUUAUAGAUGGAUCCGCGCCGCAUUAGCUAGUUGGUAAGGUAACGGCUUACCAAGGCAACGAUGCGUAGCCGACCUGAGAGGGUGGUCGGCCACACUGGAACUGAGACACGGUCCAGACUCCUACGGGAGGCAGCAGUAGGGAAUCUUCCGCAAUGGGCGAAAGCCUGACGGAGCAACGCCGCGUGAGUGAUGAAGGUCUUCGGAUCGUAAAACUCUGUUAUUAGGGAAGAACAAAUGUGUAAGUAACUAUGCACGUCUUGACGGUACCUAAUCAGAAAGCCACGGCUAACUACGUG